UACAGAGGGUGCAAGCGUUAAUCGGAAUUACUGGGCGUAAAGCGUGCGUAGUCGGUUAUCUAAGUCGGGUGUGAAAUCCCCGGGCUCAACCUGGGAAUUGCAUUCGAUACUGGAUAGCUAGAGUUCGGCAGAGGGAAGCGGAAUUUCGGGUGUAGCGGUGAAAUGCGUAGAUAUCAGGAGGAACACCGAUGGCGAAGGCAGGUCUCUGGGCCGAUACUGACGCUGAGGAGCGAAAGCGUGGGGAGCGAACAGG
rnacentral:rRNA from 1 species